rnacentral:tRNA from 1 species
GAUCUCGUAGCUCAGCUUGGUUAGAGCGCUGCUCUGAUAAGGCAGAGGUCCUGAGUUCAAAUCUCAGCGGGAUCA